UACGUAGGGGGCAAGCGUUGUCCGGAUUUAUUGGGCGUAAAGAGCGUGUAGGCGGUUUGGUAGGUCCGUUGUGAAAACUCGAGGCUCAACCUCGAGACGCCGGUGGAAACCAUCAGGCUAGAGUCCGGAAGAGGAGAGUGGAAUUCCUGGUGUAGCGGUGAAAUGCGCAGAUAUCAGGAAGAACACCCGUGGCUAAGGCGGCUCUCUAGUACGGUACUGACGCUGAGACGCGAAAGCGUGGGGAGCGAACAGG
rnacentral:rRNA from 1 species